UACGGAGGGUGCAAACGUUGCUCGGAAUCAUUGGGCGUAAAGCGCACGUAGGCGGCUUAGCAAGUCGGAUGUGAAAUCCCUCGGCUCAACCAAGGAAGUGCAUCCGAAACUGCUGAGCUUGAGUACUAAAGAGGAUCGCGGAAUUCCCGGUGUAGAGGUGAAAUUCGUAGAUAUCGGGAGGAACACCAGUGGCGAAGGCGGCGAUCUGGGUAGAUACUGACGCUGAGGUGCGAAAGCGUGGGGAGCAAACAGG
rnacentral:rRNA from 1 species